CUGAGGCGUCGGCUGUUGAGGGACUGUUGAGGGAGAUUUGGCUCGGUUCCUUCUGUAGCCUGGCUCGUUGGGGAUCCUCUGUCACCCUUCCUUACUCAGUGACUGCUCUCAGAUACUUUCAUAUGGUGACUUUGUGUUAAUUGUGAGAACAACCCUUUUUUUCCUUAACUGUGGAAAGAAAUGAGCUCAUACCUCUUUCUGAAGCUUUGACCAUCAUAGCAGGGAAAGACGCCUCAGACCCCUUCUGAUGAAAGUCUUCAUAGGCUGUAGCCUAAAAAUCAAUGUCUUAACAACUUCAACUUCGUGGUGACACCUCAGUUCUGGAAGAUGGGGCCCCAUUGAGAUUGUGGUAAGUAAUUGUUGUGUUAUGGUGAACUGAACUUGUUUUCUGCAUCAUCUGCUGUAAAUGUCCUGCAAAGCUGAUCUGAACAACCUGGUGUAUUGCAAUAAAUGGAAUCUGCAAGCAAAGAAA